AUUUUAUUUAUUUUGGACCUUCCUUCUAUUAUUUUUAUUUCAUGCAUACAGAAAGCACUAUAUUCUGUUUUAUUUUCAUCUUAUAUACUGGUGAAUGUCCACUGCCACAAUACUGCACACUGAAAGACAACACUGCUCAACGCAUGGCAUCAAAAGCAUCCUACUGGCCUGGAAAAUCUUCCAAUAAAGGACCGACAUCAUCAACAUAUCCACAGACGGGGAUUGUACCGUUCAUCCGCACAUAUCUGGAGCUGAUAAUAAGCUCCAGUUAAAUUGUAAGUGCUAUUCCUCUUGUCAAAUCAUUAGUUACCAAAGAUACUACACUAUAUUCCAUUCUAUUGUCCUCUUAUCUUUUAUAUUGCUUUCAGACCUGCCUUGUAGUCCCAGUAUUUUUCCUCUGUUGUCCCACUUGGGGCUAUGCCAAAGAAAACUCCCCACAAGGUGCAGUUCAAGCUUAUGUAAAGGCACAUUUGUGGCAGUAAAAGGCUUUCCAGGGCAUUUCUUCCCUUGCAAGAUUGAUUUAGCAUCACUCUGCUUGUGAGCAGCCAACCGUUGGUGUUUACUAGAUUCUGUUGUUCACAAUAAGCAUUUCUCUGUAAGAGCAUUUUUCAGUGGCAGAAUUGCUAUUUACUUACCAUAGAUAGUAAUCCAGCCCCCAUGCCGAAAUCCCAUUCCUAACGCAGAUAGCAUUUUGUAACUUAAUUUUUACACAAUUCGCAGAUCGUGAAUACAAAACAGAUUGCUCAGUUAUUUUCUUUAAAGUGUUUAUGGUAGGUUCCCAGGAGUUUUUAUAGUAUGUAUAUUUGUAUAGAACAAAUGUGUGUAUGUGAGGUCCGGAAUUAAAAAUAAGUAGAAAUCCACACUAUCAUAUUUAUCUCUCGCCUAAAACUGAGCACCUCCAUCUUGGUUUUAUGUUUCAGCUUCUCCUCCUGUGCAGUAUGUGCCUUCGCUGUGUCGGGAUUGAACUGGUUUGUGAUGUCAACUGUUAAAUCUUUGUCUUCAAAAAUACAGGGUGUUGUCCAGUAACAAUAAAUCAUAACAUGUGAGACUCUUUUAACUAUUGAAUUUGCCUGACUCUACUAUUCAUACAUGAGAACGCUUUGGAAGCUAAUUAUAGGACUUCUGGGUAACAACUCUGUCCUUUGUGUCAAAGAGAGAAUGCUCUACUUCCUGUCCUGAGAAUACUGAUCCAGAACACUUAUUAACAUACUUAAUUAGGAUGUGCAAUCAGAGAUUUUUAUCGAGUGUGCAAUGCAGGACUGGCGCAUUGGCUGAGAGCUUCAGCGGAUCCCUUUCCUAACAAUCUAGCACUGCACUGCAGAACGUAGCAGUGUAAAGAGAGUUUCCAACACUCACUAAACUGUAGUAGAGACGGGGUGCAAUGCCCAGCAGACCAUGAGUAAGAAGUCAAACCAUUCUAAAAUGGUUUGAAUUCUUAAAAUUGGGGGGAAAGCAAAGUAGUUCUGGCACUAUAACCAUUCUAGAGUGAUGUAGUGGUCAUGGUUUGUGGAGUGUUCUUUUAAAAACUAAACAGUUACAGUUGAUUAAUAUCAGUGAUAACACUGGUUAUGUAAGAGCCAUAUGUUUUGUUUCAGUACCUCAUCUGUUACCCUAGAAAAGCUAUUCAUUUAGAGAAUUGAAGACAUAUUGCGUUCUGU
rnacentral:lncRNA from 1 species